UGAAUACGAGACGCUAAGGCGUCGAAGUAGUGUAUGUCAUACUUCCAAGAAAAGCUUGCACUGUCAUAGAUAAAAAACGCCUGUACCAUAACCGACACAGGUGGGUAGGUAGAGUAUACUAAGGGGCGCGAGAUAACUCUCUCUAAGGAACUCGGCAAAAUAACUCCGUAACUUCGGGAGAAGGAGUGCCUUAUUCGUAAGGUUGCAAUAACAAGAUCCAAGCAACUGUUUAUCAAAAACACAGGUCUCCGCUAAGUCGUAAGACGAUGUAUGGGGGCUGACGCCUGCCCAGUGCCAGAAGGUUAAAGAAGUUGGUUAGCAAUUGCGAAGCUGAUAACUGAAGCCCUGGUGAACGGCGGCCGUAACAAUAACGGUCCUAAGGUAGCGAAAUUCCUUGUCGGGUAAGUUCCGACCCGCACGAAAGGCGUAAUGAUUUGGAUACUGUCUCGGAGAGGGGCUCGGUGAAAUAGACUUGUCUGUGAAGAUGCGGACUACCUGCACCAGGACAGAAAGACCCUAUGAAGCUUUACUGUAACUUGAAAUUGAAAUUGGACUUUAUUCGCGCAGUAUAGGUGGGAGGCGUUGAUUAUAAUCUUGUGGGAUUAUUGGAGCCAUCAGUGAGAUACCACUCUUGUAAUGUUAGAUUUCUAACUUUGAAUCAUUAUCUGGUCAAAGAACAGUUUCAGGCGGGCAGUUUGACUGGGGCGGUCGCCUCCUAAACGGUAACGGAGGCGUACAAAGGUUUCCUCUGAACGGUUAGAAAUCGUAUCUAGAGUGUAAAGGCAUAAGGAAGCUUGACUGUGAGACCUACAAGUCGAGCAGGGACGAAAGUCGGUCUUAGUGAUCUGACGGUACUGAGUGGAAAGGCCGUCACUCAACGGAUAAAAGUUACUCUAAGGAUAACAGGCUGAUCUCCCCCAAGAGUUCACAUCGACGGGGAGGUUUGGCACCUCGAUGUCGGCUCAUCGCAUCCUGGGGCGGUAGUACGUCCCAAGGGUUGGGCUGUUCGCCCAUGAAAGCGGUACGCGAGCUGGGUUCAGAACGUCGUGAGACAGUUCGGUCCAUAUCCGGUGUAGGCGUUAGAAUAUUGAGAGGAGCCUUCUUUAGUACGAGAGGACCGAGAAGGACAUACCUCUGGUGUACCAGUUAUCGUGCCAACGGUAAACGCUGGGUAGCUAUGUAUGGAGUGUAUAACCGCUGAAAGCAUCUAAGUGGGAAGCCCACCUCAAGAUAAG
rnacentral:rRNA from 1 species